UGUGUGCCGGUGUUUUGGCUGUACAUUUCCUUUUUUUUCAUGUGUGUUGUGGAAAGAUAGUGGGUGACUCAGUCCAGCUUUGGGGGAACCAGCCACACCAGGUGGAUCUGAUUGAAACCAUUGCUGGAUGAAGAGAAGAGAAGAGAAGAGAAGAGAAGAGAAGAGAAGAGAAGAGAAGAUGCUUUCUUGGCAGAGAUCGGAAAGGAAUGCCCAGUUUCAAAACCGCAAGUCACCUCUGAACAUGGGAGCAUUUGGCCUAAGUGUUUCCUGUUGCAAUAAAAAUGUACGUCAAGUAUGUGAA